UCUACAUGCCGGCAGAGUCUGUUACCCAGUGUUCUGUUCCCAGCUCUGACGCCACAGAGCCUUUACCCCGUGUCCCCCUUCCCCAUUUCCUAUUCCCACCUCCUCCCUCUUAGCAGGCCCAAAUAUACCUGCAAUGCAGGCCCCUAGUCACACCCCUUACAACUUAUGGUCAUAUUCCGUUUUGAAGGGUUGUGAGUCUGGGGUCUUCAUCCCAACUCUUUUGUAUCCCAUUGGAGGGGUAAGGAGUGAGGUUGUGUUCUGCCCAAGGCUAGGCUUUUCUUUGCCUUUUAGUGUUUCUGAUGCCUCCCUCCCAUCCCCCCUUGCCCUUCCCGACUGGUUGCUUGACCUUGGCUUGUGAUAGGAGUUGAGUCAGUCUGAAAGUAUGUGCCCGUAUAUUACACUCCCACCAUGCCCAGUAACUCUUUAACUGUUCUUAUCUGUCCCCACUAUACUAACAAACCCAUCUGGCCAGGCAGAAGCAACACAUACAGUGUCUUUGUUCUUUGUUCACACAUAUUAGUAUAAGAUAUAAGAGUAUCAAAAAGUCAAACCCAAAAUUCUAUCCCAGGCUAACAAAUAGGCCUAUAUACUAACACGAGUCAACAACUUUUUACCAGAGGAUCAAUGGAAUAUCUGCAUAUACAUUCAUGUAAAACGGUACAAUCCCUGCCUUGAAGAGAUGACAAUCAAAGGGCCCAAUGGAAGCCUCAGACCCUGAUCCUGUCUCAUAAGAGCUGUUCGCACAGCAGUGUAACAAGAAGUUUUAUUUAGCCCACAAACUCAUGAGCAACACUCAUGUUCCAAAGACAAGCUGUCCAUCACAUGGCAUGGAAAAACCUCAGAGUUCUGUCCCUAAGCAUGUUCCUGCAUACCUUGCUGAGUCCCAAGGCAUGUCUGCUUUCUCUCAAUGGAUCAAUUGUAUAGCUGAUGGUCCUUAAUGGGGCAUCAAGCAGGCUAGGAAGAGCUGACACCAACUUGUCUGGGGUGUCACCCAGAAGCAGAGCAUAAAGACAGUAUAGAGUCAAUAUUCAUAACUUUAAAUACAAAUUGAUACAUGCAUACAGAUCGCAUAAUCAUAACCAGCAAACCAUAAUCUUGUCUUAGACACCUUAUUUGACCCCCCUUUAUACAAGAUUUGGUGCCACUACGGGACCUUGGUUGCAACCAUGUUCUAUAUGGCCCCAGUUCAAGUCAAUAACGUGACACCCCCAACGCAAAAUUGAUGCAGGAAGGGAUGACACAAACAUUGCUGACUGCAUCUCAAGAGCUCCCCAUCCUUGGUUCUGCCUUACUACAGCUAGUAUUGGGUUAGAAGCUGUACCAGUGUAUAACAGAAAUGGUUUAUCAAAGUCAUGUUCAAUAACGUGAUUGAAUCUCUUUACAAACUCAAGGUAAAACUUGGUUAGAACAACAGUGGAUUGGAUCUGCUCUUGCAGCAUGGUUCCUGUAUGUCUCAUGUGAUCUUGCCAAGAGCUAAAGAACAGAGCUGCUUUAUCCACACAAGCUCUGGCAAAUGUUUGAAACCCAAUUAACAUCAAGUUAAUGUAGAUAUUACUGUUGUUUAUAGUACAGGAAUCUUGGCAUUUAGCCGUGAAAGCAAUAUGUUAGCGUGCCUCAGUUUCCCUUUUCAUACAGCCCAUCAGGUCUGGAAUGUCUUUUCCCCUGUGAAAAGUUCCAGGACUGUUUACAGACUCUAACUGUGACACAUCAGUAUAACAAGGCCUUUUAACAUAAAGUGUGUUUUUAUGUAUCGCUCUUAGCAUGUUUAAGGGAUUUUCCAAAGGGCUAGGCACAUUGUACAUUUUUACAGUUCUUGGUAAUAGCAACACAUUAGUUACAAAAUUUACCAUUAGCAAUAACAAUGUUAGGUGAGAAAAGCUAAACAGGAGGCAGUUAUGCCAACCAAACCAAAGUCAGGCUAAGAGAAGCUGCUGAGAAAGUCUCUGAAAGUAGAAUGAAGGAAUAUUUGUUUAAGUUACAGAGAGUGAGAAAAAAGGGGAGGCCUGCAUUCCUGCAUUUUUGUACCAGAUGUGCUGGGAACUGUCCUUGAGAUACAGAAGCUCUGUUUUCCACUCCCUGCUCUUGUGUUAUGCCUGUUUUAACUCCUUGUCUCCUGGUUGACACCCAUACCGAUAAGAAAGUUAGUGAAGCACUACGAUUUGCUAAAAGUUAUCUGCAAUAAGGGGGGUAGAUGUGCAUGCAUAUAGAGAAAGAGGAUUUUAACUAAUAUGGGGGGGGGCUGCUUUAUGAAUAAAUCUGUGACGCGACGGGACUGUCUAUAAAAACCUAUGAGUUUUACUUAGAGGCUGCCUGGUUCUCUUUGGAGUGUGCACUCUUCAAUAAAGAGCGUUGGGUUCGGACCUUGUUGGUGUUGCCAGUCUCUCUCCGGUCAGACAAUGAACCGUGCCGUCUGGGGUUCGAGUCCUCGACAAUUUGGCGACUCCGCCAGGACCCGUCUGACUCUCCGGCGAGGGAUCAGACUCUAAAGCAACGCAGCGCACAUCCUCCGGCUUCGAGGAGCCUUGCCAGUGAUCUGAUCCCUGCGUCGGCGAUAAGGCGUGUUCUGUGAACCAGCAGGAGCCCAUAGAAAUCCAGCAACAUCCACCUACCCGUUGAGUUGGCUCCAGAUUCAGGUCUUCGGGGUUUGAGUCCCUGGAGAGGGUCUUCAGGGUUCGAGUCCCUGGAGAGGGGUCUCCAGCCCCGCUCUGUGCUAUGCCUGCUUCUGCCCCUCCUCCGGCUUUCUGACCUAUGCCCAGGACCAGUUGCAAGCCUUAAGACAGAACUUCCAGGCAGAAAAGGAAGCACUGGCUAAGCAAGUACCAGUCCUUCAGAGACUUGUCAAAAUUCAACCAUUUGUGCUCAGCAUAUGCCGUAACAACAGUGUGUCUGCCAUAAGAGGAAAUUGAAUAGUUAAGCCGCCAAUUGGCUGUGCGUUCUGUCCAGGUGACAAGCACCCUGGGGGGAGGACUCGGGUAGCCCUUGUAAGUGAGAAUAUUUAAGAAAAGAGACCAGGAAGGCUGGGGGCUAGUUAAAAAGCCCACCCUCCUUGUGAAAUUGGUAGUGGAACAAAGCUGGUGCUCAUGGAAGGGACAGUUCAGAGAGAAAAACAGGAUCGGGCCCAAGCGGGCAGGCAACAGAUAGAUUGGAAAACAGGUUGGAAACUUGGAGGGCAUAGUGAAAAAAAAGAAGUAAAUAAUUACAGGAAUGGGAAACUUAAAUCCUGGAAUAAUACUUGGAAUGGUAAAAUCUGAGUUGAUCGGGGUGUCGUUUGGGAAAAUAAGCAAGUGAUUUAAGGAAAGAAAGUGAGAAGUUAACUCUGUAGUUGCUGGAGGGAAUUAUGCUAAAGAAAAAGAAUUUUUGGUUUCUUUGCAGCCAUUCUGAAGGAAAAAGGGGCCUUUUUUUCAAAGAAAUGUCUGUAAAUAAAUCCAGGCAAAGAGACUAUGUGAUUGAAAUCAUUUGGCUACGAAAAAUUUAGACAAAUUAGCUAAAAGAACAUAAGGGGUUUUAUUGGAACUUAACUGCCCAAAUGUAUAAAGGAAUGUAAAUAUAUAAUGCUACUUAAUUAAGAUCCUAUUAGACUCUAAGGGGCUACAAUAGUUGGUGUUUUCCUUUUUAGAGUCGUGUGUUGUGAAAACAGGAGUUAAAAGUAAAAGGCAAUCUAAAGUCCGGUAAAGUUUAUUGUGCCCUUUUUAAAGUAAGAAUCUUUAAGCUGUGGAUCCAAAAGCAAGCCAAAAAGCAUUUGUUUUAAUGUAAAUUACCUAACUGAUAAGGUAGAAGCCACUAAAACCUGGGCUGCCUAUGAAACAAAUACAAGAAAAUAUGGGUAAUUCCUCUGUUUUGCCUGCAAUUAAUAAGGGUAUUUGUAUAAAAAGAAAAUAUUUUAAGCAAUGACUGACUGCCCAAAAGGGGUAGAUCUGUGUUCUUUUUGCCUUUCAGAAAAUUAGAAAAUACUGAUGCCAAGUAAAAAGCAAUUCAACAUCUCAUGAAUUUACUGGCACAAUAGGAAUUCUGUUCUGUGUUCUAUGUCCUGUCUUGUGGUGUUUGUCUUGUGGCCAGAAUUGCUGUGUUUAAUUUUUCAUAGGACAGUUUAGUUUAAAACUAAAUAGAAGAGUUAAAUCAAAAUGCAGAUACUUGUUUUAUUCAACUUGAAAUACAAAGCGUUUGGAUAAUAUCAGGAAAAUGUGAUAUACUAAAGUUUAAUACAUUUGCUUAAGUAAGUAAAAGAAAUUUAGUUGUCCAGAUCUUUUAAUUAAAAAAAAAAUUGUUAAAAUGCGCACACCAACAGUCUUUGGAAGCAAGGACAUGAAAGGUUAACCCACUCCCCAUAUUAUACAUGGGAUCCUUCUGGCUACCUCAAAUUUCUAGCCAAAGGGCUGGGGAGGGAGGAAAGCUAUUGGACACCAGAGGUUGUACCAAGUGGACUCCUCAAAAGUGGGUGUGCUUGUCCUGGCUUGUUGCUCCAAAGCUCCGUAAUAAAGUCAUUUUCCUAGAAGGGUGUAUGUGGCAUACAUUGAACAAUAAGACUAAAGUGCUGUAUAAUGGGCAAUGUACAUGUGUUCAUUUUUGAACAAAGGUGUGUGAGUGGAAAGUGAAAGUUUCCUUUGCAGGUUAAUAGAAGCCAAGAAGGAGAGAAGAAAAAGAACGGAGGACGAGCUAAUUCAACACUGUAGCUGGCAGGCUCGGUCCAAAGAUAAGACGCUGGCCUGCCCAAGGACACUACUCACAGCUAGGAUUUGGCUAACAGCCAAGAAAGAGGGGGGCUUGAAUGUGCCCAAGCAGCUGUGAGAUCUGUAAAACACUGCCAAACAUUAAUGAAAUGUGUUAGGUCUCUGUAUUUACAGGUGAAAGAAGUCCUGCUCCAAGGAUCCUGAGCAAACCUGCCAUAUGUUAAAACCAGGUGACUGGGUCUACAUAAAGGUCCAUUAACGAAGGACUACUCUGGCCCCAUGCUGGAAGGGCCCUUAUUAAGUCCUGCUAACUACCAAUGCCGCUGUGAAGUGCCAAGGACUGACUGCCUGGACCCAUACUUCUUACUGCAAAAAGACCCCUCCACCUCAAGAUGACUUCACUUCGACUACUGAUCAGCCUGUCCCUCCUUCUGGGUUUUUGUCUUUCCUCCUUUUGGACAGCAGGGGAAAAAACAAGGUGAAGUGCUAGUAACCUCUCCCUUGUCCACUAACAGAGCUAACCUGUAUUGCACCGCUAGGGAAUCUGACCUGGAAAAAGGUUCCCCAGAAGCAGACGGCGUCAGACUUCGAGGGAGCCACGCACAUUCACCCCACCGUGACCCGGGUGAAUCAGAAGCAGACAACAUCUCUGCUCAAGACAAAUGGACUGCUACCCCUUUGGGCAACCUGAAGCUCCGGCUGCAGCUAAAAAAACCUUGAGUUGGUGGUGUCCUCUCAAAGAAAGAUGGCCCCGUUCUCUAAGCUGGGUUCUUGUGUUUUUAAUCUGUUUAGUAUUUGUUAUCUUUCUUUUCUGGGGAGUUGAGACUAUAGAAUCACACAGUUCUAACACAUUUAUACGUCUUGCCCAUGAAAUGAAAUCUCAUAUGCCAGACUUACAAAACACUUCAUGCUGGGUGUGCUCAUUAAUACCAGCAGAUAGCCAAAAAGGUCUUUGCAGGGCUCCUAUUCCCCUUAGUGCAAUGAAUAUGACCUGAACCCCGUCCUGAAAGAAUUCUUCAGGCAAUUGAAAUAUUACCUGGGCUGAUACUGGCAUCUCUGAAAGCAGGUAUCUAGUAGUUUGGAAACGAGUUGGUCAAUGGUGCCUCUUAAGAGAAGGGAAAAUAGCUUUGGGUAAUACUGAGUGCACAGUCUACUUUAACGGCACUCAUUUCGGGAGUAAAAGAGGUCCUAAUAUCUCUCUCUCCCGGAUGGGGCAACCUCUUGCACCUCCGCGUGGUAUAGAUUUGCGGGUAACAAGUGCAGUCUGCAAGGGGAAGAACACUUUUUGUAUAAAGAUCAUAUGCUGAUUGACUAUUGUGUUAUAAAUUGCACGCUGGGGUAUAACCUGCCAACUCAUACUAUGUGUUUAUGUUCCUCUAACGCCCCAGUGGCUAAAUUCUCCCUCCUCCCAUCUUGGACCGGAUGGUACAAAUGUAUUAAUAAUACCUGGUCCAAAGUCACGCCUAUCCUUUUUGAAGUAUACCGGGUGUGUGGUAACAAGGCAUACCUGGCCCUCCCUCCUUCAUGGAGUGGAUCCUGCUACUUGGCUUGGUUAGAACCACCCGUAGUAUAUCGCGCACAUCUCCCUAAAGGGGAAAUCAGAAAUGUAAGAGGGGCUGAGGAAGAUGCGAAUGACUCUCGCCCCCUUACUUGGCGUGCCCUAAAUGAUUGGACGGGUGCUUGUGCAGGAUUUGUCUUUGCCUG